CCUACGGGGGGCAGCAGUAGGGAAUUUUCGUCAAUGGGCGCAAGCCUGAACGAGCAAUGCCGCGUGAACGAGGAAGGUCUUCGGAUCGUAAAGUUCUGUUGAAGGGGAAAAAGAGCGGAGAGAGGAAAUGGUCUCCGAUUGAUAUUACCCUUCGAGGAAGUCACGGCUAACUACGUGCCAGCAGCGGCGGUAAUACGUAGGUGGCGAGCGUUAUACGGAAUGAUUGGGCGUAAAGGGUGCGUAGGCGGCCUGCUAAGUCUGGAGUGAAAGGUACAGGCUCAACCGGUACAGGCUCUGGAAACUGGCGGGCUAGAGAGCAGGAGAGGGCGGUGGAACUCCAAGUGUAGCGGUAAAAUGCGUAGAUAUAUGGAAGAACACCAGUGGCGAAGGCGGCCGCCUGGCCUGUUACUGACGCUGAGGCACGAAAGCGUGGGGAGCAAAUAGGAUUAGAUACCCCGGUAGUC
rnacentral:rRNA from 1 species